ACUGCGCUGCAGCAAGUGGAGCCCGACUACGUGAAGGAUUUAAAGCGACAUUUUCAAUAAAAGAAGGAAGGAAGGCAGUCUAUAAGAAGGAAGGAUGGAAAGACGGUGUGGACACACUGGAAUUCUUCUUUUGAAUUCACACUUUAUACAGACAAAAGAAAAUAUUCGGAAAAUCCCAUUCCCCUGGCAAAAUUACCAGUGUGGUAUGUAUAUUACCAGAGUAAGGUAUGUAAAGUGUAAUUCCCUUGAUGCCUUUCCCAUGCCAUCUCUUCUUAGCUUAGUCCAUUUCCCUGUAGUAAAUAUGACAGAUGCAAUCUGAGCAAAGGAGAACUGGUCUAAUAUUAUUUUAAAUCAUCAACUAUUUUUCCUUGUGUAGUGAUGUAGAAGCUGCUGUGAGGAGGCUUUUUGCAGACUAAAAUUUUCUAGAAGCUGUGUCAGUAGGAAAGCUUACUAAUUGAAGAUAUUUCCUACAUCCCUUCCUAAUCUUCAGUAAUUGUGUGACAUUUUUAUCCCCACUUGUACCUAGCUAGAAGAGAAGGAAGUGUUUUGCAACUUUAGUCUCAGAGGAUGAGUUGCUGACUUCCAAAGAAGGAAGUACUAUGAAUGGAAAAUGGAUGAUAUUCUUAACAUUUCUGUGCCAAACCACUUAAGGAAGGGCAUGUGAGAACAUUAUACUGCAGCCAGCAUCAGCAGAUACCUUACAAUAUUGUAUUUGUUGGAGCAGAAAGGAAUGCCCAUAACCUAAAGGCUGCUCGAGGUUACAGUGAUGAAAUUGAUUCUAUAUCAGUUUUACAUCCAUCUAAAUGUUGGCUCCUUUGUGUUGAUAAUUUUGGAUUAAUCUGUUGACAGCAUGCAUGUCAAAAUGAAAUUCACCCCCAUCCUUCUAUGUCAUUGCUUUAACACUUUCAUGCACUGUUCAGCCUUCUGCUGCUUGUCUCUGUUGCUUGUUAAGUUUUUGUCAAGAUGUGCUAUAGAGGGCUUAGAUGCCUCAGUCAAGGAAAUACAUCUCUGAUUUCAUAAUUUUACUAGAUUUUUCCUGAGCUAUUUUAGAAUGGCUGCCAGGGGAGUUCCAGCAACCUAGUUCAGACAAUCUUGGUGCUUGAAACAAAAGUUGUAUGGUCAUGUGUAAGGCUGUGUGUGCCCUGGUGAAAUUCUGGCAGGUGGAAGAGUGGCAGAACAAAAUCCUUUGGCUACUUCUGCAGAACAACAUUACUGAUAGAACUUUGUUGCUUGGUUUGGCAGACUGUGGUCAGCAAGCUAGGACUACAAAAGCAGAUAUGGAAAAGACCUGAUCAGCAAGCCAGGACUACAAAAGCAGAUAUGGAAAAGACGUCAGUCACCAAGUGUUAUUGCACUUUUUGAGGUAUUUGUACAGUUGUCAUCCUGUGAUUACUGUGGCAAGACUGCAAUUAGGUUUCCUCUUGGUAUGUUAACUAAUAGAAACAGACUCCACAUUCUUGAAAAAUUGUUUAUUUUUCCUAAAACAAUAAACCCAGUCAGGUCUCAGCUGAAUUAUAUCUUAAAGUCAUAUAAUUAUAUAUAUAGGCUCUUUUUUUGCAGUGUG
ensembl:lncRNA